UCCACUUGAUUGAGCACUGUUUGCUCUGAGCCUGGGGCGGCAGGGUUGAGGCGGCGGGGCUCUAGUUGCCUGAAAAAGCCCGAGCCUGGCCUCUCGCUCCCCCAGAAAGCACUGCAGAGCUGCGGCCUGAUCAAUGCUGGGCGCUGAUACCCACAGGAGCCGGGCUCGCGAUUCCCGGCAGGCGGCCGCUGCGCCCCUGCGGAGAGGAGGCUCCGGCUGCUCGACUGCGACCCCUGGCGGCCGUCGGAGAAACUCCCCGCAGAGCUGCACAAGCGAAUGGGCCGCUGGACAGGAAGCGAAGGGAGGAUUUUAAUGGAAACUGGGUUCACACAGCUCUCAAGCCCAGACCCAAAUGUGCAAGCAGACCAGGCAGCACCCACAAAAUGGAAGAGUACAUGAGAGGCCGGAACUAAGCAGAUCCUGACCCAGAGCUCCAAGUUCCCAACAACGCUAAGAAUCUAUGACUGGGGAGAAGGGACACAACCUCUUGCAGGGAACCACCUGCAAUCCAAAUGUGAUAGCUGGAUCUCCAUCAGCCAUCUUGGACCAUAAGUCGACCUUGAGGAUGGAAACCACAUCCUAGGAUAUGAAGGAACUGAGGACCACAGAGGUGAAAUCGGGUUCCCAAAAGCUCUCUAAGGUCCCCUGUUGGAAGGCACAGUCGUCCUGAUUAUUCCCCACAAAGGAUACCUUCAUCAUCCUGUGUCCUGCGUAGUAUCUUCAUCGCUCAUGGCCCUUGCUCCAGGACUUCUCUUCUGGACGCUGUGCCCAGCCCCUGACGAGGGACAGAUGCUCAGCCCUGAGCACCAGCCACUGAGAUGGCGUUCUUUUCCUGCACUGAUAUCAUCAGUCACAUC
rnacentral:lncRNA from 1 species